GUUCAAUUGACUUUGUGCUGAAGUUAUCAAAGGGUUGCAGUUCAUAGCGCAAAUAUUUGAUUUUUCUGACUUUGAUAACAUUGUUAUAUGUACAAUCAUUCUCUGGAAUACAUAUCAAUGCUACAGCUGCAUAUGUUAAUAAAGUAUGUGAAUUCUACGUAGGGGUUUGAGCAGAGCAAAUUCAAUGUUUGUGAUAGGAUCGCUUUAUUUCAAUGCUCAGUCAAAAAGGAGAAACAAACCCGCAAAACCAGAAAAAGGCAUGGGAAGACGCAGGCAGCAAGGAAAACAAGCAUACAGGCACACAUGCUGUCAGCUAAUGAAGCAAACUGCUCUCGGAUUGACCUGCUGCAACGACAACCGCGCCCUUGAAUGACUGUUUCAUUUAUGUGCAGCUCUCGUACAGCGAAUUUAUAAAUAAAACUCAAUAUAGAAACAAAUUGAAC